AUUUAUAAAGUAUAAUAUUGUACAAUUAAUUUCCAAUUAAUAAGUUAUUUUAUAUAAAUA
rnacentral:tRNA from 1 species